rnacentral:rRNA from 1 species
UACGAAGGGAGCUAGCGUUGUUCGGAAUCACUGGGCGUAAAGCGCACGUAGGCGGAUGUGUCAGUCAGGGGUGAAAUCCCGGAGCUCAACUUCGGAACUGCCUUUGAUACAGCACGUCUUGAGUCCGAUAGAGGUGGGUGGAAUUCCUAGUGUAGAGGUGAAAUUCGUAGAUAUUAGGAAGAACACCGGUGGCGAGGCGGCCCACUGGCCCGUUACC